UCGGGAAUUUUGGGCAAUGGGCGAAAGCCUGACACAGCAACGCCGCGUGAAGGAUGAAGUCCCUCGGGAUGUAAACUUCGUAAGAAUAGGAAGAAUAAAUGACGGUACUAUUUGUAAGGUCCGGCUAACUACGUGCCAGCAGCCGCGGUAAUACGUAGGGACCAAGCGUUGUUCGGAUUUACUGGGCGUAAAGGGUGCGUAGGCGGCAUAUCAAGUCACUUGUGAAAUCUCCGAGCUUAACUCGGAACGGUCAACUGAUACUGUCAAACUAGAGUACAGAAGGGGCAAUCGGAAUUCUUGGUGUAGCGGUGAAAUGCGUAGAUAUCAAGAGGAACAUCUGAGGCGAAGGCGGGUUGCUGGGCUGAUACUGACGCUGAAUCGCGAAAGCUAGGGUAGCAAACGGGAUUAGAUACCCCCGUAGUCCCUGAGCGGGCUGGCAAGGCGCAU
rnacentral:rRNA from 1 species